ACGGAGGGUGCAAGCGUUAAUCGGAAUUACUGGGCGUAAAGCGCACGUAGGCUGUAGUGUAAGUCAGGGGUGAAAUCCCACGGCUCAACCGUGGAACUGCCUUUGAUACUGCACAACUUGAAUCCGGGAGAGGGUGGAGGAAUUCCAGGUGGAGGAGUGAAAGGAGAAGAUAUCAGGAGGAACAACAGUGGCGAAGGCGGCAAACUGGACAGGAAAUGACGCUGAGGAGCGAAAGCGAGGGGAGAAAAAAG
rnacentral:rRNA from 1 species